rnacentral:rRNA from 1 species
UACAGAGGGUGCAAGCGUUAAUCGGAAUUACUGGGCGUAAAGCGUGCGUAGACGGUUACGUAAGUCAGAUGUGAAAGCCCCGGGCUCAACCUGGGAAUUGCAUUUGAGACUGCGUAGCUAGGGUGCGGAAGAGGGAAGCGGAAUUUCCGGUGUAGCGGUGAAAUGCGUAGAUAUCGGAAGGAACACCCGUGGCGAAAGCGGCUCUCUGGGACGGUACUGACGCCGAGACGCGAAAGCGUGGGGAGCAAAAGGG